CUAUGCACUCCUACGGGAGGCAGCAGUGGGGAAUAUUGCACAAUGGGCGCAAGCCUGAUGCAGCCAUGCCGCGUGUAUGAAGAAGGCCUUCGGGUUGUAAAGUACUUUCAGCAGUGAGGAAGGUGGGUAUGUUAAUAGCAUACUCAUUUGACGUUAGCUGCAGAAGAAGCACCGGCUAACUCCGUGCCAGCAGCCGCGGUAAUACGGAGGGUGCGAGCGUUAAUCGGAAUUACUGGGCGUAAAGCGCAUGCAGGUGGUUUGUUAAGUCAGAUGUGAAAGCCCGGGGCUCAACCUCGGAAUUGCAUUUGAAACUGGCAAACUAGAGUACUGUAGAGGGGGUAGAAUUUCAGGUGUAGCGGUGAAAUGCGUAGAGAUCUGAAGGAAUACCGGUGGCGAAGGCGGCCCCCUGGACAGAUACUGACACUCAGAUGCGAAAGCGUGGGGAGCAAACAGGAUUAGAUACCCUGGUAG
rnacentral:rRNA from 1 species